AUGGCCGCAUGGGUUGAACUCCACAGGUUGUCCGGGCUUGCUAUGAGGUCUGUCGUGGAUCAUCUUCGGCCACAAGGACCAAGGCCGGACAGCUAUUUUGGAUUGGUGCAACAAUUCCUUGGUGCUGUGUCGCAUAUCGAUGUUGUGAAGAGGUCGGCGUGCAUAGAGGGUACGCGGAUGGCUCUUGGCCGUGUUAAAACAUACUGGGCUAGGAUGGAAACCACCGCUAUUGCAACCAGGAAUGCGGCAGAUGACCAGGACCCGGACGAGCACUAUUUCAAAGAAGUCUUAGAAGGCGCCCGUUUAAUAGACGCUCAGUGCUCAAAGAGUGCCAUGUUCGAAUAA
rnacentral:rRNA from 1 species